rnacentral:rRNA from 1 species
AUACGGGGGGUGCAAGCGUUGUUCGGAAUCAUUGGGCGUAAAGCGCGCGCAGGCGGCUUGGUAAGUCAGAUGUGAAAUCCCUGGGCUUAACCCAGGAAGUGCAUUUGAUACUGCCUCGCUAGAGUACGGGAGAGGAAAGUGGAAUUCCUGGUGUAGAGGUGAAAUCCGUAGAUAUUAGGAGGAACACCGGUGGCGAAGGCGGCUACCUGGACCGAUAUUGACGCUGAGACGCGAAAGCGUGGGGAGC